UAACACAUUCGAGAGCGGCAUUUGUUUUUUUUUAUGUCGAGGAAAAGUUUUCAUGAUAUAACAAGACUGAACCAGCUGCAAUGGAACCAGACAAGAUAAUUCAAAUCUCGUUAAAAGCGUCUUGUGGUACUCGUGACUAUGACUGUUUCUACGCGACCAUGUGUCACGUCUGCAAGGAAUUCGGCGACGGCGUCGCGUUAAAGAGAUGCGGUGGCUGCGGCAUGAUCGCCUACUGCAGUCAGGAGCAUCAAAAGUACCACUGGAAGCAGCAUAAAUCUUUGUGCAAAGCCGUACAGGAUGCGAGGCGAGACGACAGCGUGAUGAAUAGCGAUGCAACUUCGAGGGACGGUUACAUGCGGGUCAUCAGGGAGCUGGUGACAUCGAAGCUGAAACGUCAUCUGGAGAGAUUCGAGGCGGAAAUGUUCCUAUUCGCGAGGAAGUGCAUAGUCUGCCACGAGCGGGACGGACGGUUGCUGGAGGACUGUCAAGAUUGUUUUUCCGCCAGCUUCUGCAAGGAUCACAGGGACAAUGUUGAGCAUAAGGAUUUCUGCGAUGCUUUGAAACUGUGCCUUUAUUACAAUUUAGCAAAUAAAACACCGCUAUCUGCAAAAUACUUUCAACAUGUUCCUGACCUGACAGCUGCCUACAAUAGUCGAUCAAAACAAUGGCAGAAAUCGAGUGGCCCUGGCAAUACAGUUUCCCGCCGUUCUUUACACUUCAACCUCACGCGGACACCAGAACUAAACAGAUAGCUGCCUGGAAAAACUUGGUGCUCGAGUAUUAUCGUGUCACGAAGCAGGCGGUUGUAGACGUGCGCGAAGUGCACACGAAUCCUCUGUUUAAUAAUGCCAACAUAAACAGAAGAUUACCAUCUGAAGCUGUGCUAGUGAUAUUAGAAGAAUUAG
rnacentral:misc_RNA from 1 species